GACGAACGCUGGCGGCGUGCCUAAUACAUGCAAGUAGAACGCUGAAGGAGGAGCUUGCUUCUCUGGAUGAGUUGCGAACGGGUGAGUAACGCGUAGGUAACCUGCCUGGUAGCGGGGGAUAACUAUUGGAAACGAUAGCUAAUACCGCAUAACAGUAGAUAUCGCAUGAUAUCUACUUGAAAGGUGCAAUUGCAUCACUACCAGAUGGACCUGCGUUGUAUUAGCUAGUUGGUGAGGUAACGGCUCACCAAGGCGACGAUACAUAGCCGACCUGAGAGGGUGAUCGGCCACACUGGGACUGAGACACGGCCCAGACUCCUACGGGAGGCAGCAGUAGGGAAUCUUCGGCAAUGGACGGAAGUCUGACCGAGCAACGCCGCGUGAGUGAAGAAGGUUUUCGGAUCGCAAAGCUCUGUUGUAAGAGAAGAACGAGUGUGAGAGUGGAAAGUUCACACUGUGACGGUAUCUUACCAGAAAGGGACGGCUAACUACGUG
rnacentral:rRNA from 1 species